rnacentral:rRNA from 1 species
GACGAACGCUGGCGGCGUGCUUAACACAUGCAAGUCGAGCGGUAAGGCCCUUUCGGGGGUACGACGAGCGGCGAACGGGUGAGUAACACGUGGGUGACCUGCCCUCAGCUCUGGGAUAAGCCUGGGAAACCGGGUCUAAUACUGGAUAUGACUCCAUGACGCAUGUUGGUGGGGUGGAAAGCCUUGUGCGGCUGAGGAUGGGCCCGCGGCCUAUCAGCUUGUUGGUGGGGUGANGGCCUACCAAGGCGACGACGGGUAGCCGGCCUGAGAGGGCGACCGGCCACACUGGGACUGAGACACGGCCCAGACUCCUACGGGAGGCAGCAGUGGGGAAUCUUGCGCAAUGGGCGAAAGCCUGACGCAGCGACGCCGCGUGAGGGAUGACGGCCUU